GCUGACACAUCCCGGCCAAUCUCCGGCAGACCCUCCCUCCCAGACCCUCUCACCUCCUGGACAGCAUCCAUGUUGAAGCUGCCUUCAACAUGGAUGCUGUCCAGGAAGUAGGAGGGUCUGGGAGGGAGGGUCUGCCGGAGAUUGGCCAUCCUUCCACAG